AGAUUGAACGCUGGCGGCAGGCCUAACACAUGCAAGUCGAGCGGUAGAGAGGUGCUUGCAUCUCUUGAGAGCGGCGGACGGGUGAGUAAUGCCUAGGAAUCUGCCUAGUGGUGGGGGAUAACGUUCGGAAACGGACGCUAAUACCGCAUACGUCCUACGGGAGAAAGCGGGGGACCUUCGGGCCUCGCGCCAUUAGAUGAGCCUAGGUCGGAUUAGCUAGUUGGUGAGGUAAUGGCUCACCAAGGCGACGAUCCGUAACUGGUCUGAGAGGAUGAUCAGUCACACUGGAACUGAGACACGGUCCAGACCUCCUACGGGAGCAGCAGUGGGGAAUAGUGGGACAAGUGGGACGAAAGCCUAGGAUCCAGCCAUCGCCGCGUGGUG
rnacentral:rRNA from 1 species